AUUGAACGCUGGCGGCAUGCUUUACACAUGCAAGUCGAACGGUAACAGGCCGCAAGGUGCUGACGAGUGGCGAACGGGUGAGUAAUGCAUCGGAACGUGCCCAGUCGUGGGGGAUAACUACUCGAAAGAGUAGCUAAUACCGCAUACGAUCUAUGGAUGAAAGCGGGGGACCGUAAGGCCUCGCGCGAUUGGAGCGGCCGAUGUCAGAUUAGGUAGUUGGUGGGGUAAAGGCUCACCAAGCCAACGAUCUGUAGCUGGUCUGAGAGGACAACCAGCCACACUGGGACUGAGACACGGCCCAGACUCCUACGGGAGGCAGCAGUGGGGAAUUUUGGACAAUGGGCGCAAGCCUGAUCCAGCAAUGCCGCGUGCAGGAAGAGGGCCUUCGGGUUGUAAACUGCUUUUGUACGGAACGAAACGGCUCUGGUUAAUACCCGGGGCUAAUGACGGUACCGGAAGAAUAAGCACCGGCUAACUACGUG
rnacentral:rRNA from 1 species